ACGCUGGCGGCGUGCUUAACACAUGCAAGUCGAACGGUGACGGAGAGCUUGCUCUCCUGAUCAGUGGCGAACGGGUGAGUAACACGUGGGCAACCUGCCCCAGACUUCGGGAUAACGCUUCGAAAGAGGUGCUAAUACCGGAUACGAACUCCUUGGGCAUCCUUGGAGUUGGAAAGUUUUUCGGUCUGGGAUGGGCCCGCGGCCUAUCAGCUUGUUGGUGAGGUAACGGCUCACCAAGGCGACGACGGGUAGCCGGCCUGAGAGGGCGACCGGCCACACUGGGACUGAGACACGGCCCAGACUCCUACGGGAGGCAGCAGUGGGGAAUAUUGCGCAAUGGGCGAAAGCCUGACGCAGCAACGCCGCGUGAGGGAUGACGGCCUUCGGGUUGUAAACCUCUUCAGCAGGGAAGAAGCGAAAGUGACGGUACCUGCAGAAGAAGCACCGGCUAACUACGUG
rnacentral:rRNA from 1 species